rnacentral:rRNA from 1 species
CAGUCGCCGCGGGAAUACGUAGGGUGCGAGCGUUAAUCGGAAUUACUGGGCGUAAAGCGUGCGCAGGCGGUUCGUUAAGACAGAUGUGAAAUCCCCGGGCUUAACCUGGGAACUGCAUUUGUGACUGGCGAGCUAGAGUAUGGCAGAGGGGGGUAGAAUUCCACGUGUAGCGGUGAAAUGCGUAGAGAUGUGGAGGAAUACCGAUGGCGAAGGCAGCCCCCUGGGCCAAUACUGACGCUCAUGCACGAAAGCGUGGGGAGCAAACAGGAUUAGAUACCCCCGUAGUCCCUGUCUCUUAACA